UAUGAUUUUAGUUUCACUUGCCGGAAUUGCAUUGCAUUGGUUCAAGAUGAAGGCUGGACUAAUACAAUACUCUCAAGGAUUCUAAAAUUUGCCACUCAGAACAAGGAUUAUUACCGAAAGCAACCGGCUGUAUUUCCUGGAAGCGAAAUUCCCGAGUGGUUUAGUAAUCAAAGUAUGGGACAUUUAGUAAAUGUGGAGCUUCCUCCACCAUCAUGUACCAACUGGCUGGGAAUUGCCUUUUGUGUUGUUUUUCAAGUUCCUAAGGAAAACUUGGCCAAUCUAGCCGCCCAUUUUUAUCGUAUUGAUUUAAAAAUUGAGUUUUUAUCAAAACCCUUCUACUCUAUGAUUUGUGGGUCUCUUGUGUCAGAACACAUUUGGGUAUUUCAUUUGCCUCGUGAAAUUUGUCAUCAGGAACAGUUUUUAUUCGGAACUUACUUUAGUUGUAUUGGAGGGGUAAACGUAGAAGCAGACUUGAAUAAGGUGAAGAAGUGUGGGGCUCGUUUGGUGUACAAGCAAGAUUUGGAAGAACUCAACCAAACACUGAAAAUCCUGAAACGAACACAUGAAUAUUGUGACGAGGCAUCUCCAAGUGGACCUAUAAGUGCUAGCUUCAACGACACAGAGCAAAUCCACAAAAAACAUUGUUACUAGUUACCAUCUUAUAAUAAAUGCAGACAACUCACUAUCGAUUUAUCCCAUCAGCUUAAUGGUUAUCGGAAUUUGAGCCCCGAGGUUGAAAAUGGUAUCUGCCAAGUUAGCCCACAUGUCGCUGGACUCUGAGACGUCUCCUGGGUCUAGUUCGACAAUGUCUAAUGAAGCGAAGAAGCUUGGUGCAUUUUUUAAACAAUUAAUUGAGACAGAUACUUGUAGAGACAGGGACCAUAUCUGAAUUCUUUAACAGUUGUACUUGGUUAAA